rnacentral:rRNA from 1 species
UACGAAGGGGGCUAGCGUUGCUCGGAAUGACUGGGCGUAAAGGGCGCGUAGGCGGCUGUGACAGUCAGAUGUGAAAUUCCUGGGCUCAACCUGGGGGCUGCGUUUGAUACAUGUCUGCUUGAGUUCGGAAGAGGGUCGUGGAAUUCCCAGUGUAGAGGUGAAAUUCGUAGAUAUUGGGAAGAACACCGGUGGCGAAGGCGGCGACCUGGUCCGAUACUGACGCUGAGGCGCGAAAGCGUGGGGAGCAAACAGG